rnacentral:rRNA from 1 species
AACGAACGCUGGCGGCAUGCCUAACACAUGCAAGUCGAACGAGAUCUUCGGGUCUAGUGGCGCACGGGUGCGUAACGCGUGGGAAUCUGCCCUUUGGUUCGGAAUAACAGUUGGAAACGACUGCUAAUACCGGAUGAUGACGAAAGUCCAAAGAUUUAUCGCCAGAGGAUGAGCCCGCGUAGGAUUAGCUAGUUGGUGUGGUAAAGGCGCACCAAGGCGACGAUCCUUAGCUGGUCUGAGAGGAUGAUCAGCCACACUGGGGCUGAGACACGGCCCAGACUACUACGGGAGGCAGCAGUGGGGAAUAUUGGACAAUGGGCGAAAGCCUGAUCCAGCAAUGCCGCGUGAGUGAUGAAGGCCUUAGGGUUGUAAAGCUCUUUUACCCGGGAUGAUAAUGACAGUACCGGGAGAAUAGGCUCCGGCUAACUCCGUGCCAGCCGCCGCGGUAA